CCGUUAAUAAAAAAAGACGCUCUCUUCUUUCACCUAUUAAAAUGGCAGACGAUUUCAGCAGAGACAUUCCGGUGAUCUUAGAAUGCAGGGGCCAGAGAGAGGAAGAAAGUAAUCAAUGCCUGCAAGCCAUGAGGAAUUUUAAGGAGCUGGUACGCACCAUGUCUCAGUUCUCUCCCCUGAGGAAUUUUAAGGAGCUGGUACGCACCAUGUAUCAGUUCUCUCCCCUGUGAGAGGGCAAGCGCAGAGGAUACCCCAUCCGAGAGGGCAAGCGUGGAGGAUUCAUCUACACUGGAGAGAAAUCUGCACUUACUUCGCCCCUGCACCAACGUGACUACACUCGCUGGAUGAAGAGAUUGUGGACAAGUACAACGAGGAGCUGAUGGGUUUGGCAGGCAAGCUGAUGGCUGAUAAACUACUUUGAAGUCAUUACUUUGCUCCUCAAAGACCGGGAGGGUGGCCUCGGGACGACAGGGUCAACUGGAUCAUUGUCAAGCCUAUCCAGGGAGCUUUCGCAGUCAAUCUCGGCGACCUCAUGCAUUUUCUGAGCAAUGUGAAGUUCAAGAGCGUGGACCAUCAGGUUGGGGUUAACUCCAAUAGUAGUAGAUUGUCCAUUGCUACAUUUUAGAAUUCAUUGCAGAAAGCAAUCGUGUACCCACCACCUUGCAUCAUGAAAGAGCCCAUCACCUUUACUCAGAUGUACUCUCGCAAGAUGAGUUGUGAUAUUGAACUCGCCUGCCAUAGGAAGAUCGCCAAGCUCGCGCCUGCCCCUGAAUCUGCCUCUGCCCUGCAUCUCACUAAACUAAUUCAGCAUUAAUGCUCUUGAAAACAUCAUGUUGUCUCAAUAAAAAUCUAUUUAGUUUAUAUGAAAGUGUAGUAUGCAAGAGCCCACGGACAAUCUAGUCCUCCUAUUCUUUGUUUUCUGCAAAUCCCCUCGCUCAACUGGAGAAGCCCUUUCCCCAGAAUGAUUUCCUCUCAUCUGCAAUGUUCAGAAUCAUCUGCGGAGGAAUGUUGUUCGAGAGAGUGAUGGCUCCACAGUGUUCAGUCGACCAUUGCGAUGCCCUAUGCCCUGCAUCUGCACCGACGCUUCUGCAGAGGAAUGUUGUAAGUCCCUCCUCCAAAGGAAUUCUUGAGUUUAAUUACUUAAAUUCAGGGGUACCAGCUGUCUUGGAAGCUGCUCAUAAAUUCUAGAUGUUGAAAUCAGUGCAAUUGUUCCAUCAAAGUUAGCGCAUAUGUUCAAGCUUUUGAUUUCUUUGCCUGAGUUUUACAUAUUCAAAUAGACUCUCUCAUCCAUUACAAGCUUUGGAUUUCUUUCCCUUAAUUGAAUCCUAGCAAUUAACCAGAAAAGUCAUUGUGAGCACUGAAUUCUUUGUAUGAGAGUUGGAACCAGAUGUUGUAUCAUAUUUGAUCACCUAAAUCAUUAUAUUAUACAUAUUUGAGCUCUUUCUAUGAAUCGGGUUCUUGGCUUGGUUACCCUGGUAGAAAGGAAAGCACUGACACAGAAAAUUUGAACUCUUUCUACUUUUUAAUUUUUUAUUAAUAAAACUUUAAUAUAAAUGAAGCUAGGGCAUUGAUAUCUAUGAUUCAAAAAUAUGUUUUCUUUGUUAUUUUCUUUCUUCAUCCAUGGGAUUGAUUCUUGCUGGGAGUGAC